rnacentral:ncRNA from 1 species
AAUAAAUUUAUUAUGGUUUAAUAUAAUUUAUUUAUAAUUUAUUUUACAUAUAAAUUUUGGUAUAAAAUAUUUAAUUAUUUUAAAAAUAUUUAAUUAAAUUUAAUGUAGUAAUUAAUAUUAAAAAUUUAAGAAAUUAAGAUUUAAUAAUAUUAAAAUUAAUAACAAAUUUUGUGCCAGCAGUUGCGGUUAUACAAAAAUUAAAUUAAAUUUUAUUAGUAAUUUAAUAAUUAAUAUUUUUAAAUUUAAUUAAAUUUUAAAUUAUUAAGUGAAAUUUUAAUUUAAAUAAAAUUAAUAUUAAAUUUAAUAUUUAAUAAAUUUUAAAAAUAAACUAGGAUUAGAUACCCUAUUAUAAAAAAAUUUAAAUUUAAUACUAAAAUAUUAGAUGAUUAUUCAUUGAAACUUAAAUAAGUUGGCGGUAUUUUAGUUUAUUUAGAGGAAUCUGUUUAAUAAUUGAUAAUCCACGAAUAAAUUUACUUAAUUUAUAAUUUUGUAUAUCGUUGUUUAAAAAAUAUUUUUAAAUAAUAAUAAUAUUUUAAAUUUAAUAAAUAAAAAUUAAAUCAGAUCAAGAUGCAGAUAAUAAUUAAGAAUAUAAUGGAUUACAAUAAAUUUAUUUAAAUGAAUUUUAAUUUGUAAAAAUUAAUUGAAGGUGGAUUUAAAUGUAAUUUUAUUUAAUUUAUUAAAAUGAUUUAAAAUUAAAAUAUGUACAUAUUGCCCGUCGCUUUCAUAAAUAAAUUGAAAUAAGUCGUAACAAAGUAGAGGUACUGGAAAGUGUUUCUAGAAAUAA